rnacentral:piRNA from 1 species
UUCACCGUUUAAGCAGUAACU